UUUUUCUUUUACUGAUAGGCAGAAAACAGAGAAGGGGUUGAGUUUUUGAUUUUUCUUUAGACUUUACCUCUAAGAAAAACUAACAUAUAAAGAACACACAGUAAUAGACUUGAGAGGGGGAAGUUUCGAGUUCUGUUUUCUUUUCUGAAACUCUAAUUGAAGUUUCUUCAUCGGAAUCCUUUAGUGGUGGUGGAAUCGUCUUCAACAGCUCGAGUUCAGUUCGCUGCCCCAAGAAAGGUAACUUCACUUCCUUUUGUAUUUUGUCCCAAUGUUGUGUGUUGUAUGUUCCAUGCUUGGUGUAGAAUCUGAUGUUAAAUGUACUUGGUUCCUAGUAUUAGUGUUUUCUUUAUCGUUGCCUACUUUGUGAAUUUCUGGGCUGCAACAUGAAUCUCAUUGAUUAAGUCUCUUCGGCAUUAUGUUGAUAGAUCAGCUGGUUCGAUGUUAUGUGUGUAUAGCUAGCUGGAUCUCUGCUUUAUUUUGUUUGAUAUGAAUUGGGAUCAUUUAAUUUUGACUUCUAAUGCAUUAGCUGUAUAGUUCGGUUUCCUCAUUGUUUACUCGUUUUCUUGGGUCUCUUUUUCUGUUGUUUGACCUAUCAUUAUGAACUCUCACCAAUGCUAGCAUAAUCUCAUAGUAUUUAUCUAUAUACUUGAACACUGCUCAUUCAACUCUAAUUCCUCUUAAUUUUAAGCAUGUUUUCAACAGUUGUGAAGUAAUAUAUAGUUCCUUUACUUACUUUAGUCAUCACUGGCUCAUUUCUUUCUUCCUUUCACAUGCUUAAUUCAACGUUAUAAGCGGUUAACGCCUAUUGGAGCCUUAGGUGUUCUAAGAUUGCUUUUCUUCGAAUAUGUGUUUCGUUCUCUUUAAGUUUGCGAUACAUGAGGCAUUUGCUUGGCAUGAACUUUGCAUUUAGAUUGGGUUAAUGGGUUAUUUUUUCUGGAAAAGAUUUGCUUUCAAGUUAAAAUCAGAUUAGUAGUUAUUGCUUCCCUCAAUGAGUUCCAUGUCUUUCAAGUGUUGGAAUU
rnacentral:lncRNA from 1 species